GGGUAACCUGCCCAAGAGAUCGGGAUAACACCUGGAAACAGAUGCUAAUACCGGAUAACAACAGAUGAUGCCUAUCAACUGUUUAAAAGAUGGUUCUGCUAUCACUCUUGGAUGGACCUGCGGUGCAUUAGCUAGUUGGUAGGGUAACGGCCUACCAAGGCGAUGAUGCAUAGCCGAGUUGAGGGACUGAUCGGCCACAUUGGGACUGAGACACGGCCCAAACUCCUACGGGAGGCAGCAGGU
rnacentral:rRNA from 1 species